UAACGCGUGGGUAACCUGCCUCACACAGGGGGAUAACAGUUGGAAACGACCGCUAAUACCGCAUAACCCGCUAGGGCCGCAUGGCCCGGACGGAAAAGAUUUAUCGGUGUGAGAUGGACCCGCGUUGGAUUAGCUAGUUGGCAGGGUAACGGCCUACCAAGGCGACGAUCCAUAGCCGGCCUGAGAGGGUGAACGGCCACAUUGGGACUGAGACACGGCCCAAACUCCUACGGGAGGCAGCAGUGGGGAAUAUUGCACAAUGGGGGAAACCCUGAUGCAGCGACGCCGCGUGAGUGAAGAAGUAUUUCGGUAUGUAAAGCUCUAUCAGCAGGGAAGAAAAUGACGGUACCUGACUAAGAAGCCCCGGCUAACUACGUGCCAGCAGCCGCGGUAAUACGUAGGGGGCAAGCGUUAUCCGGAUUUACUGGGUGUAAAGGGAGCGUAGACGGUUAAGCAAGUCAGAAGUGAAAGGCUGGGGCUCAACCCCGGGACUGCUUUUGAAACUGUUUAACUAGAGUGCUGGAGAGGUAAGCGGAAUUCCUAGUGUAGCGGUGAAAUGCGUAGAUAUUAGGAGGAACACCAGUGGCGAAGGCGGCUUACUGGACAGUANCUGACGUUGAGGCUCGAAAGCGUGGGGAGCAAACAGGAUUANAUACCCUGG
rnacentral:rRNA from 1 species